GUCCACACAGUAAACGAUGAAUACUCGCUGUUUGCGAUAUACAGCAAGCGGCCAAGCGAAAGCAUUAAGUAUUCCACCUGGGGAGUACGCCGGCAACGGUGAAACUCAAAAGGAAUUGACGGGGGCCCGCACAAGCGGAGGAACAUGUGGUUUAAUUCGAUGAUACGCGAGGAACCUUACCCGGGCUUAAAUUGCAUUUGAAUAUAGUGGAAACAUUAUAGCCGCAAGGCAAAUGUGAAGGUGCUGCAUGGUUGUCGU
rnacentral:rRNA from 1 species